rnacentral:lncRNA from 1 species
GUAUUUUUAUAUAAUUUAGUUCCAUCGCAAAAAUCACUCCAGUGGAAAUUACCUUCCAGGAAGCCAAGUUCUUCAAGAAAGUUUCCAGGUUUCUAUGAAGGCAAAGAAGUUUCUGCCCUCUUCUAUGGAAGUCACCCCCAAACAACAAGAGCAUGAGAACCAGAACCACAACUCCCUUUUGGACAACACCAGAAGAUAUCUGUAACUCAGAACCUGCUUGUACAAGAGGGCAGUGGCAGGAAAGGUCAAACCAAGUGCCCCAUUAAAGGCUCAGGAACCCAUGGCCCCAAUGACGGCUGAAGGGCGUGGAAGUCAUCCAACAGCUGCUGGAGGGACUGUGCAGAGUUACGACGGAGAGAGUGACUCCUCCGAAGGGGACUCGAGGGUGAAGCAUCUUGAUGUCUUUAUCUGCGGGGUCUUUUCAAGCCCAAAGCCGUGGUUUUCAAUCCUGAGCUUGUUCUAGUCAUCUCCAACAACAAACAUGUGCAAUUGUCAAUGCCAAAUCAAUAUAUAUUGGUUUAAAAUGUUUGUAAUACAGAUGUAUGUUGUCAGGAAAUCUUAGAGGGAGUUGAAGGCCACAGUCCACCUGACAGUAAUAUCAAUUGUUGACUAAGAUGGUAGCUUGCACGUGAGACUGUCUAGAUUCAAAUCCAGUCCAACUUCUCUCUGUCUCUGUUUCUUCUCUUUCCCAGUAGCUGUGUAACGUGGGGUAAGUCAUUUCACGUCUCAGCUUCCUCAUCUACAAAAUGGAAAAAAAGGAAAGUCAUAUUUUUGUGCAGAUUAAAUGAGACUACGCAUGAAAGAGAUUAUAGUGGUACCUGGAAUGUAAUGCUUAAUAGAUAUUAACAUUUUUAUUCUUAGAAAAACAAAUCCACUAGAUGUUUAAAGUCCUUAGAAGACUCAUCUCUCUUAGAGACUGGCCUUCUGUGCUUUUUUUUUCCUGUUUCAGUUUGUGAACUUUGGAAUACAGGAUUUUCUAACACGUCCUGCUACUGCUCUCUUAAGCUCCUACCUGGAUUUGGUCAUUGAGACGCUGAUGUCUCCAGUUUUUUACCUUGCUUCAUCCUUGCAUCUACCUACUCAGCAUCCUACAUCUUGAUUUCUAUGGCUCUGCUUCUAGACCUAGGAUAGACCCUGAUCUUAGUUACUCCCUUGUUUAGGAAUAAAUUUCUUGUAUUCUCGAUGGUGGAUUUGAGUGUGAUGGUGGAUCCAGGAUUGUAAAUAAAAAGAGUAGGGAAGGAACCUAGGGCCUUUGUAAAAAGAAAUCAGAUGUCUUAGCAUCCUGU